rnacentral:rRNA from 1 species
UACGGAGGAGGCUAGCGUUGUUCGGAAUUACUGGGCGUAAAGCGCGCGUAGGCGGACUGUUAAGUCGGGGGUGAAAUCCCGGGGCUCAACACCGGAACUGCCUUCGAUACUGGCGGUCUAGAGGUCUGGAGAGGUGAGUGGAAUCCCGGGUGUAGAGGUGAAAUUCGUAGAUAUUAGGAGGAAGACCAGUGGCGAAGGCGGCUCACUGGCCGGAUUCUGACGGUGAGGUGCGAAAGGGUGUUUAGCAAACGUG